UUCCCCUGCAUGUCGGGGUUAUGACAUGCACCUCCCUGUUGAACUGGCCCGGCCUUUGUGCCGGGUCUUUUUU
rnacentral:ncRNA from 1 species